rnacentral:rRNA from 1 species
GACGUAGGGCGCGAGCGUUGUCCGGAAUUAUUGGGCGUAAAGAGCUCGUAGGUGGUUUGUCGCGUUUGUCCGUGAAAACUCACAACUCAAUUGUGGGCGUGCGGGCGAUACGGGCAGACUGGAGUACUGCAGGGGAGACUGGAAUUCCUGGUGUAGCGGUGGAAUGCGCAGAUAUCAGGAGGAACACCGGUGGCGAAGGCGGGUCUCUGGGCAGUACUGACGCUGAGGAGCGAAAGCGUGGGGAGCGAACAGGAUUAGAACCGUACGACA